rnacentral:rRNA from 1 species
UGGGGAAUAUUGGACAAUGGGCGAAAGCCUGAUCCAGCAAUGCCGCGUGAGUGAUGAAGGCCUUAGGGUUGUAAAGCUCUUUUACCCGGGAUGAUAAUGACAGUACCGGGAGAAUAAGCUCCGGCUAACUCCGUGCCAGCAGCCGCGGUAAUACGGAGGGAGCUAGCGUUGUUCGGAAUUACUGGGCGUAAAGCGCACGUAGGCGGCUUUGUAAGUUAGAGGUGAAAGCCUGGAGCUCAACUCCAGAAUUGCCUUUAAGACUGCAUCGCUCGAAUCCAGGAGAGUGAGUGGAAUUCCGAGUGUAGAGGUGAAAUUCGUAGAUAUUCGGAAGAACACCAGUGGCGAAGGCGGCUCACUGGACUGGUAUUGACGCUGAGGUGCGAAAGCGUGGGGAGCAAACAGGAUUAGAUGCCCUGGUAGUCCACGCCGUAAACGAUGAUAACUAGCUGUCCGGGGACUUGGUCCUUGGGUGGCGCAGCUAACGCAUUAAGUUAUCCGCCUGGGGAGUACGGCCGCAAGGUUAAAACUCAAAUGAAUUGACGGGGUCAUAGCUG